CCUGCCUCUGGGUGACAGACAUUUGGCCCUUCCCAUAUCCAAAAUUUAUAGAUCUAAGGACAAAUUUACCAAUAUCAAUCCAAAAAAAUUUGAAAAAUUCUGCAGUGUAACCAUCAGAUCCCGGACUCUUGUUAUUUUUCAUCCUCUUUAAUGCUGCAGUUAAUUCAGAAAAAAAUAAUAUUUCCCUCCAAUAACUGCUUUUCAUCCUCGCUAAGCUUCGGUAUCUCGUCAUAACAAUAGUCCCGUGUUAAAUCAACCUUUUUCAAACAAUCUUGUUUUCUAUAAAGUUUUUCAUAAAACACCCUUGUCUGAUUUAAGAUUUCUUUUUGUUCUUCCACUAUAACACCAUUUUCUAAAGUAAGUUUUUGAAUAGUCUUAUUAAUAUAAUUUCUAGUCUCUAGAUUUAAAAAAAAUUGGUAGGUUUUUCUCCUUCUUCAAUCCACUGACUUCUUGACCUAACAUAUUGUCCCUGAACCUUCUUUUGUCUAUACAUUUUAAGUUCUGCUUUUUUCUGAUCAAUCUCUUCCAGAUUUUCUACUGUUAGAGCAUUUUCUUCUAAUUGUUUUAAUUUUGAAAUAAUCUCAUUUUCAAUUUUUAUACCCGCCUUUUUUUAUAAGAGGCAUAUGAAAUAGUUUUACCGCGUAUUUCUGUGAGUAG
rnacentral:lncRNA from 1 species